rnacentral:rRNA from 1 species
CCUACGGGAGGCAGCAGUGGGGAAUAUUGCACAAUGGGGGAAACCCUGAUGCAGCGACGCCGCGUGAAGGAAGAAGGUCUUCGGAUCGUAAACUUCUAUCAGCAGGGAAGAAGGAAGUGACGGUACCUGACUAAGAAGCCCCGGCUAACUACGUGCCAGCAGCCGCGGUAAUACGUGGGGGGCGAGCGUUCUGCGGAAUCACUGGGUGUAAAGGGCGCGUAGGCGGAUGGGAAAGUCGGAUGUGAAAGCCCGGGGCUUAACUCGGGUAUGGCUUUUGAACCGGUCUUACUAGGGCGCAGGGGGGGAAGGCGGAAUUCCGAGGUUGGCGGUGAAAGGGUAAAAAAUUAGGAGGAAACCAAGUGGCGAGGGCAGCUUUUUGGACUAUAACUGACGCUGGGGAACGAAAGCGUGGGGGGCGAACAGGAUUAGAUACCCGGGUAGUC